ACAGGUUAUUCAUCUAGCAAUUAAAUUGCUUUUGGUAAUUCAGGUAAUUUGUAGACCUUCCCCUUUGUUGUCACUGCAGUAAAACACCUGGUGCCACAGCUGUGUGAGUCAAUGUAGCUCCAUUGACUCUGAUGGAGUUAUACCAAUUUACAGCAGCUGAGGAUCUAGAUCAUGAUGUCAAUAGGAGAGCAGGGGAGUAAUUGGGAGCAAAGAUUGGGUUACUUUGUGAUGGGGAUUGGAUGAAAUUGAUCUUGUAGUGCACCUAGCACAACACGUGAGCCUGGUUAGUCUGGCCAAAUGCUGAGCUGUGAAUUGGGUAUAGAUUGAUGAAGCAGGAAUAUUGGUAGCAUUCUGGUCUGGACCAAAAAACAUGCAGUCUGUGAUCAGUGAAAUCCACUUUAGUAGGAGAAACAGGAAACACCGGAAAAGUCAGUGAAUUGAGACAGCCAAAUGACCAUCCUUUUAUCUUCUGGGAAUUUAAACUCUCUAAAGAUUGGGCAUAAGAUUAUAGUGAUUUUUAGUGAGGGAGGUUCAGUUUUUUGGUUGUGGGGUUUGUUAUUUUCUUCUUCUUUGUCAUCUGUCUAUAUCCUAAGAAGAAUUCCCAGGUUGGAGUCCAUAUUGGAGCAUCAUUUUGUAGCAGGGGCUUGUCACCUAGUGGAAAGACUGUGUCUAACCAGCUAUGACAGAGCAAUCAAGGGACAUCAACACUGAAUGACCCUGGCCUAUUGGAACAAUGGGGUUUCUAUCAAUAGGGCCACUGACUUUGAAUGACUUUCCACACAAAAAACAGACAGGAGAUGGGGGCUGGAGCCCAGAACUCCCAGGACUGAAGCUCUUUGGACAAAGGAUGACAGAGCCUGUUCUAAAAGAGGGCUGCUUCUCUAAGCAAGGGCCAGACCACUGCAACAUGCAAGAUGACCAGACAGUCUAAGGAAGACAGGAAGGGCUUCCUAGCCUGAGGACACUGACCAAACCCACAACUCAAAGGAGGGGUGAGAUCAGACUCCGGGGGUUGCAUCAAGGCUUUUAUUGUUUUUCAUAGAUCUGUAACUCUCUAGUGCUUUCAAGAUUAAAGUUCCUAUUGCCUUUG